GAAGGGUGCUGAAAUUACAGGAAUUGGACCCAUGAUCUCACACUUUCGAGGCAGGCGCUGUGCCACUGAGCUAUGUCCCUGGCAAUCCUGAAGGAAACAAUGGAGAAUGAAACCAGAAAAACUGAACUGGAAACAGAGUACAAAGACCCAUCAAACUGUGGCAAAAUAUUUUAGUGUCUUUGAGGUCCCUGGUUUACAUUGAGGAGUUACCAAUAGUAUAAUAUUAUAUGAACUGUAUUUGGUAGAAUAACUCAUGAAACUUCAGAAAUAAAUAGAAAAGAGUAAAAACAAUAGGGGGAUUAUUAUAAUAAAAAAAGAAGACCUGAACUUAAACAAGAAAGAAGAGAAAAGUUGACUAGGCAAAUAUUUUGUGGGUAAAAUAAAUAGGAUUUGAUGCUGACCUGUUGAGGAGGGAGACAUUUCCUAGAAUAGCUCUCAUAUUUAUACUGGUGUUAUCUUCUUAUUCAGUGGACUAACAGUGGUGCCAAGAAUGAGACAGAGAACUCAGGAAUUCAUGUAUGCUUGUAUGAGGGGUGGAUUUAGUGUUAGAAUCAUACUGUAUAAAAUGCCUGCUGAACAUCAAAGAUGUCCAAUGGACAUUUAAAGAGUAAUUCUGAAGGCGAAGAGGAAGGGAGAGAAGGAGAGAGAGAGAGAGAGAGAUACAAGGGGUGAUCAAAUUAUACAGUGAAUAUUUAAACUUAAAAAUAUUGAUUACAAUAAAAGAUGCACUGUCAUUAACCUGCCUCAAAAUAGUCCCCCUUGCUUUGAAAACACUAAGCCUAUCAGUUAGCCCAUCCACUUAUCCUACCCUACACUUUCUGAAGCAGUUCUGGCAGUCCUCUUUUGUGAGUGUCUUUACAAGGUAUGAUCAAAAAUACAGUAAAUUCCACUACUGAGUGCCAUGCAAAGAAAAGGCAGGUCUGUAAAACCACUACUGUGUGUCCUCAUCCACCAUUCUAAAUGGAUCUGGCACCAUACAACCUCUGUCUCUUCUCCAAAGUCAAAAUGACCAUGAAAGGUAAGUGUUUUGGAUCAGUUCAGAACAUUGAGGCAGCCACAACAGAGCAACUAAAGACACUCAUGGAAGAGGACCCCCAGAACUUCUUUAGUGUCAUGAACAAGGCAGUUAAUGUAUUUGAAGCAAGAGGAAGUCUUUUGAGGGGGAUUAACAGCAAUGUGUCUUUUACUGGAACAAAUUUUAUUUAAACAUUCACCCUACAUCUACAUUAAACUGUAUGUACUUGGGGUCAUUAAUAUUUGUUAACUGUAUGUAUGUUAUCCAAAAUGCACAUGUCUGGCAUUGUUUUGGGUUUCAAUUUUUUUCAGAUUUUGGAAUUUUUUUUACAUAUAUAUAAUGAAACACCAUGAGAUUAUGGGUCCCAAAUUAUCAACAUGAAAUUCACAUACAUACAUAGACUGAAGAUAAUUUUUUAUAUUUUUAAUAACUGUAUGCACAAAACAAAGUUUGCUUCUGGCAGCUGAUGGCGCUGAGAGGGCCUUUUUCUCUAGGGGAUGCUGAAUCAAUAAUUGCGUGUUGUGUUCCCGUGUUUUGACUUCAAGCCAUCAUGUGAAGUCAGGUGUGGGAUUUUCUGCUUGUGGCAUCGUGUCAACACCAAAAAGUUUCAGAUUUUGGAACAUUUCAGAUUUCAGAUUUUUGGAUAAGGGACUCUUCACGCAUUGCUGGUAAGUAAUUGUAAUUCACAUAACAGACAGAGGAAAGAAGCCAGAUGGUCAUCUAGACAAGUAUUACCCGGUGGCUUUACCUUGUAGUGCCACAACAGAUCAGCACUUUGCUUCUGGCUUUGGAAUACCAGAAAAUUUGCUCCUUCAUAGAUUUUGAAACUCUUCAGAAUAAAUAAUUUCACUAUGCUAGGUACUUGCAUCUUUUCUUUAAGGGAUAUCCCCCCUCUCUUAAAAAGCCUCUCUAUUGUAAGUAAUUUUUUUUUUAAUUACACACUAAGCACUGUUUUUUAGGAGGUGCUAAAAAUUUUUGCAAAGAAAGAAUACAAACCAUUUACUGUUUUUCACAACUAUUUAAAACAAAACCGGAUAAAACUGGACCUAUCCUGGAUGAACUAAGACUGUGAUUCUCCAGUGUAGCUACCGGAUUGUCUCUGUGGUGCAGUCAGAUCUCAGCAGAACGUACUGUGGAGACCCUGACCUGCACACAAGUGCACCGUCUCCCUCCACUUCCACGAACACUCUCAUCAAAAAUUCAGUGUUCAGGUCUUCACUUUGCGGGGCUUCCUUCUCCACAGUUGUGCUGGAGUGACCUUAGACCAAGUUGUGAAUCAGCUGUGCUCAUCUCUUCUCAACUUUCUGUUUGGUUAUGUCAUGUUGAUAGCUUGAAAUAGGCCACAGCAGGUGUAUGUGCACCACAAGUAUCAGCAAGUAUGUACUGCAAAGUACAGCCUCCCCUCUUUCCGAUCCCUCACCUGUCAAACAUUCACCUGCCAAGCCCUCUUUCCCUUGUUUCCCUCCUCCGUCUCUCUUCCCCCUUCUAUCUUUCUCUCUCCAAACUCAAACUUGUACCUCUGUGUCCACCGAUUUGAUCAUAUAUCCUGUCUGGGAUCAGUUUUUCUUUGGGCAAUAUUACUAGCAACUUGAUUACAAAGAUGUUUUACUCUUUUUGUGUUUGUACCAGGCGAACUUCUGUCUUUUAUUAAAGGAGUUCUGCGGGUUUCCUAUAUUUUUUUUCUGAACGAGGAUGAGAGAAUUUCUUUUCUAUCCAUGAUUCUCUUUGUCCACUAACUGAUGUGAUAGGAAAUCCUACUCUUUUAUCUUGUUUCUCUGCUUUGAACCCACGAGAACCUCCAUUUCCGGCAGGGCUUGCUCUGAAGACUUAAACGUUAUCUCUUAGGGUCCCAAAACCAAAGUGGAGGAGGGGAUCGAAGGCAACAGCAUUUGGAAAAUGAACACGUUCUGAACACAGCACGGAAUGAAUUUAAAUUUUUAAAUAUCUUUUAAGUCCAUUAAGUUUCACCUACUGAAAAAUUAGCUCAAAUCCACAUCCUCUUUGUAAGCCUUCCCUAAGCCAUCUAGUCAAAACCUGGCUCUUCCUUUUCUGCUUUAAAGCGAUUGUUGAAAUCACUUACCAGCCAUGCAUCACACACUAUUUUAGUUAUGCGCACACACAUCUUAUGCCCUAAGUAGAAAUGUAUCCAAUAUUUCCUUCCGUGCCACUUGAAGGUACUGACAGUGGCUGUGUCAAGAGAACUGAAAAACAGGAUAGGGAGGGAGACUUUUCAUCCCAUGUUUCACAGAUUUUGUCUCAUAUGUUAUCUUUUUAUUUUUUUAAUUUUUUGUUUGUUUGUUUUUUUCCAGUACCAGGAAUCAAACUCACGACCUUGUACUUGCCAGCUUCAAAAGUAUUUGUAGACAUUUUAGCCAAGAAAAAGAAAACAAGUUUCUACUUAGAAACCCUAUGAGCCUUCAAAUUGAGUGAAUCCUUUAUCACAAUGCAAAUGCAGACUGUGGUCAACCAAAGGCCUAUGAUCCGAGUGUGCACAACUGGCAAACGUGGAGCUGCUUGGAUUGACUCCCAGCUGAGAGGUGCCCAAGACUUGACUCCUUGUCUUCACUCCUCCCUGGGGAGCACUGAAGUGGGCGUUAUUGAUCUAAACAAAGUGACAGAGCUGAA